AAUACUUCCGCGUAACUUCCUCUGUUUUACUUUCAUUGUUGACAGUUUGAUAACUACUGAAAGAAUUAAGCACAGUUAACAGUCGGAUAGAAAGUGUUCAGCACAUCUGGAAUGCCAUGUCGCGAGUUUAUUAGACGGAAUGUUCGCUGCGUCAGUCGUGUUUUAAAUGCGGCCGUGCUACGUUAAACUGUUAGCCUACUAGCCAGCUCUCAAGCUGCUGUUGGUCUGAAAAGCCAAGAUUAUGUUUGUCAGUGUGUUUUUGUUAUGCUUUUACUUGUUUUGAGUAACCUGAGCAACAUGGAAUCUGAGGGAAUCGUCAUCCGGAUAAAGACGCCGGUGGGGGACAUGGACUCACCAGUGGACAGUCCAUCACAUCUCAACUUUAAUGAUUUGCUGGCCGCGAUCAGAGAUGCCAUGCCUGAAGCCACAGUCACAGCGUUUGAAUAUGAGGAUGAAGUUGGUGACCGAAUCACAGUUCGCAGUGAUGACGAGCUCAAAGCCAUGCUGUCAUAUUACUGCAAUACAGUGAUGGAGCAACGCUUCAAUGGUCUGUUACCUGAGCCUUUACAGAUAUUUCCACGAGCCGGUAAGACCCCAGGGAUCCGCAACAUUCAUGGCCUGAAGGUGAACACACGGCCCGAAUCCUCGAGUGGCAGGAGCUCCUCUGCAGCUGAUUCCCGCUCCAGUGAUAGCAGUUUAAAGAAGUCUUCAGCUGAACUUAAGAAGAUCUUGACAAAUGGACAGAUAAAUGAACAUGACCUCCAGUACCAGGAACAGCUUGGCCAUGGAAAUGGUGGAACAGUUUACAAAGCGUACCACCUACUUGGGAAAAGAAUAGUGGCAGUAAAGGUUAUUCCUCUUGACAUCACAGUGGAGCUGCAGAAGCAGAUCAUGUCAGAGCUUGAGAUACUUUAUAAGUGUGAUUCUCCAUACAUCAUAAAGUUCUACAGUGCUUUCUUUGUGGAGAACAGAAUAUCGAUAUGCACUGAGUUUAUGGAUGGUGGCUCUCUGGAUGUAUAUUGGAGAAUCCCAGAGCAUGUUUUGGGCAGGAUUGCUGUUGCGGUGGUAAAAGGAUUAACGUACCUCUGGAGCCUGAAGAUUUUACACAGAGAUGUCAAACCGUCCAACAUGCUGGUCAACACACGAGGUCAAGUCAAACUGUGUGACUUUGGAGUCAGCACACAGUUGGUGAAUUCCAUUGCAAAAACAUACGUCGGAACCAACGCAUACAUGGCGCCAGAGCGGAUAUCUGGGGAACAGUAUGGUAUUCACUCUGACGUGUGGAGCGUAGGGAUCUCUUUCAUGGAGUUGGCUCUGGGCUCUUUUCCAUAUUCACAGAUUCAAAAGAACCAGGGCUCUUUAAUGCCUCUUCAGUUAUUGCAGUGCAUUGUUGAUGAGGAUCCUCCUGUACUUCCAGUUGGUCAGUUCAGUGAGAAAUUUGUCCACUUCAUUACACAAUGUAUGAGGAAGCUGCCCAAAGAAAGACCAGCUCCAAACAACCUAAUGGACCACCCAUUUAUUGUGCAAUAUAAUGACGGCAACACUGAUGUGGUGUCCAUGUGGGUGUGCCGCAGCCUAGAGGACCGCAAAGCCCAGCAGCCACAGAGACUCAUGUGAACAACACUGGCACUGCAGAGUUAUGGGAGAUGGUGUCCACAUUCCCUCACUUUACUCUUCCACUGAGAAACAGCAGCUCACAUAUAGAGCACCUCCUCCUCCCAUGCUUGAAUUUAAUGGUGCACGGAUAAUCCAAAUACAUUUUUAUGACUGAUUUGUGAAGAUCUACCAUAUGCAUUGUCUGGUUUCAUAUAGCACAAGUCUCCGGAUCAUAUAAGGUCUGUCUAAAUGAUGACAGGGUGGCUUGUUUAAAAACGGGUGUUGUGUAUCUGUAUACCUGCUCGGGGGAGGAUCCAGUCUUGUAGGACAUGUGAGCCCCUGUCUCUCCGCCAUAAAUGCUAACAAUGCUGCAUUGAGUCUGACCUCUAAAUAAUUAACAAGAAAGGAAUAAUUACAGAAUAAAAUUGUAAUUAUUGUUGGGCCAGAACGGAGCUUCUUGGUUGUGAAAGGAGACACGGCCAGGCAGAUCUGGUUAAAGUUUCCCUUCCUAUUAAUAUUGAAUUAGGUUAAGCCGGUGGCCCCUUGGUCACAGGACACACUGAGCAUCGCUUGACGGAUUUUUAAACUUUCCCGUUUUUUCAUCUCUGUCGUCAUAUAGGCUGUAUUUUAUCCUCAAAUAUUUUGGAAAAAUAUUUCAAUACAAACGCAGCCAGUUGUACUUGUGUCAAGAUACACGUUCAGUUAAUGUAAAAUACACUUUAGCUCGAAGCGUUUUAAUAGUAAUGACUUUGCUAAGAAGAAACAUCCCUCUGAGGCAUUUUUGGACAUUAUUAACUAAUUGAUUCAGCUAAUUGUUAACAUUUAUAUAAUUAAUUACCGUUUAUUUUAACGUCUGUUUUGACACCUUAACGAAUGACAGCAGCAGAGUAAAAUGGACGAGGGCUGGAAUAAUUAAAGGUGGGAAAUAUCUGACACAUGAGUAGGUUUUAAAAAAAAACAGGCUAUAUCAGUUGUUUUAAACAGACUUUGUAAAAACAUUGUCUUUCUGUGCAAACCAUCUAAGAGAGGGAGAGACUGAAACGCGUGACCGAUGAUACCUGGACAAACCGCCAAAACAUUUCUGAGGGAAUGAUCAUUUUCCACUGUCGUAUUUCAAAGUGGACAGCACAACUUUGCCCGGUUCGAUAUUGAUAUCUUUACGUCAAGACUUAGUGGGGUUAACUGAAGGGCAUUGAUCAGGUUUUAAAUAGUUAAUACGGCCAUAUAAGGUUGCACCACUUACCUCAGUCCAUUGCUCUGAUAUAUCACUGUUUGUACACACUAGCCGCUCUCACUGGCUGGUGUGUUUAACAAAUGUGCAUCAUUCACUGGGAGACAUGUGACGUAAAAUGCAAUGACCACGAGCUUCUAAUAGCUGUUUAAACAGUGCGUGCCCCGCGGACAUGCCGCCUAAAGGAAAUAUUCAAUGCUAAUAUAUAAUAAUAUUGUUUGUUUUUCGAGUGUCACUCAAAACAGAACAGUUCAAAAAUUAAUGGAAAACUUGUUCAUCUAUGAGAAAAAAAGACAUGUAAAAAGACGUGUAUGAUAUCAUAAAGAGGAAGAAA